rnacentral:lncRNA from 1 species
CUUUCCUCUUCUGCUGUAAAGAAUGUACACAAACAAGAAGUAAACACAACUUUUCUGCUCAUCUGAGUCCCUGUAUCUGAGCAUGAAUGAUCUGAGGGAUUAAGAACGUGGGGAGAGGAGCCUGAGUUGAGCUGAAGAGCAUGCAGGUGAGAGGACUUCUACAGGUCGUGCUUGACAUCUGGUUGCUGCAAAGACUAACACAAAAAUUAUCUGUCGAACAACUUCUUCAAGAUGUCUCCUGGCAGCUUCUACCGGAUGCAUGCCAUUAUCUACUGUGCUGUCUCCUUGGGAAGGACCUCCACAUCCAACAGGUCAUGCAUUCUGUCAGCCAUAUCAGCUUGCCUAAGAAAGAUCCUGCCACUCCAUGUGAACUUGCUCUCCUGAAUGCUGUAAACCACCAGCACUCACAAAGGCACAAAUGUCAUGCACCUUUCUGAGAUGUUCCUGUCCAGCUCCAGGUUUCCCUCUCUCUUUCAGUCUUCAUGCUUCCUUCACACAACAAGUUCAUUGUUGGAUAUGUUAACCAGGAUCAGAGACGUUCCUUUGAAGUUACAAAUGGGAACUGAAGACUGAAGAGCUACAGCUGUUUCAAGUGCUGUCAGCCACAGGAUGGAAACACCUGGGAAAGCACUGUAGAUGCCAGCAGUCACCAUGGCCUGGUGGUGCCCCACAGCUUGGUUGGAUCCCACAGGGGUGCAGGAAGAUGCCGAAAAAGCUCUGACCCAUGCAGGUUGUGCUUACUGCUUAGAGAAACUGGAUAGGCUGGUCACCUCUCAAAAAAACAAACCUUUGGAGGAUGUGCAUGUGGAGGUAGCUUCCGCUGCCCAAAGCAUCCCUGCUCCACCAGCAGCAUCCCAUGUGGUGUGGACUCAACUUUGGAGGGGCUUUCCCAAAAGUGUCAUCUACUUGGAGCCAAGUGGUAGCCCUGCAGCACAGACAAAACCCCUCCGCCAUGCCCUGCCCUGACUGCCCGCAGCCUCCUGAGCCCAUUCAGAGAAUCACAGAAUCACAGAAAGGGACUCUAUGAAGGGCCCUGAAACUGAUCAUUGAACUCCAGCCCCCUGCGGUGGGCAGGGCUGUCACCCACCAGAUCAGGCUGCACAGGGCCACAUCCAGCCUGGCUUUGAGCACCUCCAGUGAUAGGGCAUUCCCUCCUUCCUUUCAGGACAUGACCGGGUCUGGUGACCAAAUCACUUCCCACACAGGGAAGCACUAGUGGAGCUAGAUCCAGCUCUCCUAAUUAUCACACAGAGCCUGUAGACUGUUAACAGCAGCCCACAUUAGCAUGGAGCCAAGUCCUUAGUGUGCUGUGAUAAUAACAGUGUUUAAUAGAAUUAGGGGAAGUAUAUAAUCAGAAUAAGACUGCUGUGUGUACACAAAGGCAAGAUUAAUACACAACCAGUGAGCCGGCGCUAAGUCGAUAAAGUGGAAUUCACUGGGAGCCAGGAUAGCAGACAGGUAAACAUUAAUCUCUGUGUGUGAUGUGGAGUUUAGAGAUCAGAUGUUACUCGAAACCCGUGCAGAUGCAUGGGGUAUUUGGAGGGCACCACAGCCUCUGUUACCUUACACUCCUCAUGUGGAGCAGGAAGAGCUGCAUUCUUUGUGAUUAACCCAGCUUGAACUUUGAAAUGUGACUCCCAAAUAUUUGCGAGAAUACUGCAACUAAGACAAAGGAGUGGGGCUUUAAAGACCCUGUGGUUCUACAGUGUGCAGCUAGCUUCCUGCGGGGCUUAGGGCAAGUCCCUGCACCUCCCGGGACCUCAAUUGCCCAUGAAUUUCCUCCAAAUAGAUUUCCUUUGCACAUCUUAUUUCCAUGGGGAAUUAGUAUGGAAGUUUCAGAAGGGAAACACAAGAAGGCUAAAUGAGAAACUUCAACACCCAAACUAAAACUGUGGGGGAGUUUUUCUUAUUUCAAGGAAGAAGAGCACAGUUGGUCACAAAGCUAGCAAACAUUUCCAGCUUCGAAAGAGGUCUGUGCCUAAAUACCUGGGUACUGCUCUGUUACUGAUCUCAUACCCACACAUACCAGUAUUUCACCACAUUCAAUUGGUUGAUCAGCCACCUGAAGGUGCCAGAAGGCAUCAUCUUUCCAGGGAUCGCUGAUGGAUAGUUGUAAAUUUCUUAGGUCAAGAAAGAAAGUUUUGUAUUCUGGGGGCUUUAAUACAGACAUAUUGCCCAGCUUUGGCUGGCCAUUAAAUUAAUCCCUUUCUUUCCAGAAGCAAUCACAAGGGAUCCCAAAUGAUAAGCUGAGGAGAACCCCAGGGAUUCCAUCACCCCUGGAUGCAGUGUGCCCACAUUUAGAGCAGGAGUAGGGAAGGUCUCAGCUCCUGCAGCCCAGGACACCGUACUUCAAUGAGCCCCAGCCAGCACAACCUACUUAUUUUACCCUUGUGAAAGUGCUUUAACUUCAGAAUAAAAUAUUGUUUUACCCUCUGCCCUGCUGCUCUGUGUAACUCCAGUGUCAGCUUCCAAAACUAUAACAAACCUCCUAAACAAACAGAUUUUAAGCUCUGCUUCCAAACCAGGCUGGGUAAGGAGCAAGCAAGCUGAAUUAGAUGCAGGAGCCGAUUCAUCACCCCUUCCUCUGCCUCCUGGUCCCCCUGCCAUUUUGGGCAUUCCCAGCUGUGUCACCUGCAUGACAAACAGGGCUGAAGGAGUUGUUUUUGCAAGGUGCCAGUGGCCAGUCAGCCUCUUUGCAAGGUGAGGGCGAGCUGCCAGCUGUCUCCUCAAGGAGCACAGCCCUGGAAGCCAGCAGAGCAGGAGGAGAGGGAGGGUAUGGAAACUUCCCAGGGGAGGAUUGUUGCAGAGACUGAACAGGCUCUGCUCUAUCCAAGCACAAGGAAAUGUAUUAAUGUCAGGCCCAAGUGCCCUGCUUUGUCUCAUGACAGCACCUUCGCAAACAUCUCAAACAUUUGUUUUCUUUUGUGCAGCCUCACAUGCCACCACCCAGCACCAACAAAUAGAAGCUCCAUACUUUUUAAGCACAGCCUUAUGAGGAAAUACUGUUACAAUGAGCCGCAGCUCUGUCCUGGCAUGGCGAUAAAAAUGCUGGCAGAGAUGGGAGGCAGAGCAUGUGCAGAGCAGCAGCUGCAAGAGGGGCCUGUGGCAAUUGCAAUGGCUCCCAGGAGCCAAUGGGGAGAAUGGGCCAUACAGAAAAAUCCAGGAGACCUCUUAGGAAGGACUUGCUAUGGGGUUAGUUAAAGCUGUUUUACGACUCUCUGGACUGGGAAAGAAACAAGCAAGUCCUGUUUUUCUGAGGUACAGUGAACUGUGUCACUGCUGUAGCACCAGAAGGAGCUGCCGCCCUGCAAGAAG